UAGUGGAUGAAAAAAAAUCUGCCAGUAAACAAUUACCGGCAAUGUUCAUACCGUCCGACAGUAUCAGAGAACUUUCUUGUAGUGAAAGCGAUGUUAUUUGUGCCAAGGCAACCCAACUUUUCGAGGUUGAGGGCGCUAAAUCCACCAUCAAAGGGAGUAGAAAGAUUCUUCAUAGCGAUGAUUUCAUAUUAUAUUGUGUCACGCAUUUGGCAGAUUCAUGGAUAAGGCAACACCGAUGACAGACAAUGACGAGGCGAGUCCAAUGAAGCAGUGGCGACUCUGCACGGUAACAAGUUGAGGAAGCAAAAUGUGUGCGAAGAAUGUUACCGGUGUGGCUAUGCACAAUAAUCUACUCGGUUGUAUUCCCAUAAAUGGCUUCUCUGUUUGUUGAGCAAGGUGAUGUGAUGAAGUCCAACAUUUGCCAGCGCCCAGCGGCAAGCAUGUCAGCAUUUGACAUAUGCAGUGUCCUAGUGUGCACCUGUAUUUAUCGCCAUAAUAUUGAGUUACAUUAAGUUGCUGUAGUGAGUGUAAUUAACGCUUUUGCCCAUUAUUCAAAUGCCAAUUUAUUACCAAAAUGGAUUGAGGAUCCAUUAAAAUGCAAUACUGUAUGGUAUUCAUUAGGAAUUGAUUGGUUGAAUAAUUGUGUUUUUAUGAGUGAU